rnacentral:rRNA from 1 species
UACGUAGGGGGCGAGCGUUGUCCGGAAUUAUUGGGCGUAAAGAGCUUGUAGGCGGUUUGUCGCGUCUGCUGUGAAAAUCCGGGGCUCAACCCCGGACUUGCAGUGGGUACGGGCAGACUAGAGUGAUGUAGGGGAGACUGGAAUUCCUGGUGUAGCGGUGAAAUGCGCAGAUAUCAGGAGGAACACCGAUGGCGAAGGCAGGUCUCUGGGCAUUAACUGACGCUGAGGAGCGAAAGCAUGGGGAGCGAACAGG